CUCUACGGGAGGCAGCAGUAGGGAAUCUUCCGCAAUGGACGAAAGUCUGACGGAGCAACGCCGCGUGAGUGAUGAAGGUUUUCGGAUCGUAAAACUCUGUUGUUAGGGAAGAACAAGUGCCGGAGUAACUGCCGGUACCUUGACGGUACCUAACCAGAAAGCCACGGCUAACUACGUGCCAGCAGCCGCGGUAAUACGUAGGUGGCAAGCGUUGUCCGGAAUUAUUGGGCGUAAAGCGCGCGCAGGCGGUUCCUUAAGUCUGAUGUGAAAGCCCACGGCUCAACCGUGGAGGGUCAUUGGAAACUGGGGAACUUGAGUGCAGAAGAGGAGAGUGGAAUUCCACGUGUAGCGGUGAAAUGCGUAGAGAUGUGGAGGAACACCAGUGGCGAAGGCGACUCUCUGGUCUGUAACUGACGCUGAGGCGCGAAAGCGUGGGGAGCAAACAGGAUUAGAUACCCUGGUAGUCCACGCCGUAAACGAUGAGUGCUAAGUGUUAGAGGGUUUCCGCCCUUUAGUGCUGCAGCAAACGCAUUAAGCACUCCGCCUGGGGAGUACGGCCGCAAGGUGAAAACUCAAAGGAAUUGACGG
rnacentral:rRNA from 1 species